rnacentral:rRNA from 1 species
AAUAGAUACCCAGGUAGUCCACGCCGUAAACGAUGAGUGCUAAGUGUUAGGGGGUUUCCGCCCCUUAGUGCUGCAGCUAACGCAUUAAGCACUCCGCCUGGGGAGUACGGUCGCAAGACUGAAACUCAAAGGAAUUGACGGGGGCCCGCACAAGCGGUGGAGCAUGUGGUUUAAUUCGAAGCAACGCGAAGAACCUUACCAGGUCUUGACAUCCCAUUGACCACUAUGGAGACAUAGUUUUCCCUUCGGGGACAACGGUGACAGGUGGUGCAUGGUUGUCGUCAGCUCGUGUCGUGAGAUGUUGGGUUAAGUCCCGCAACGAGCGCAACCCUUGUUCUUAGUUGCCAUCAUUUAGUUGGGCACUCUAAGGAGACUGCCGGUGACAAACCGGAGGAAGGUGGGGAUGACGUCAAAUCAUCAUGCCCCUUAUGACCUGGGCUACACACGUGCUACAAUGGACGGUACAAACGGUUGCCAACCCGCGAGGGGAGCUAAUCCGAUAAAACCGUUCUCAGUUCGGAUUGUAGGCUGCAACUCGCCUACA